ACUGUCUCACACUACCAGUGCCUGUGGCCCUUGCCACCCUGUAGUACCCAGGAAUUGUAUUUAUCCUCUGUUGACUUUUAUGUUUCCUUUUACUGCUGCUGUGUUACGGAGUUUGUCAUAAUAAACAUCAUUGACUUUUAUCCUGGUUGUCGUGGUCACGCCUUCGGGCAGUUAUUCUACAUGUUACUUACAUGUCUAGGGGUCUGAUACAACCUCCCAGGUUCCGUUACAUCUCAGCCCCUACAACUGAGGCUGCCUCCCGUCAGCUCAGGCCCUCAGUUGUGACAAUUAGGAGCAACUCCUGAAGCACUUCCACUAUCCUACUGUUGGAUCAAUUUACUGGAGAUGGAAGGUUUGGAAAAAUUGAAGGAGGGCCAGAUUAGGCAAGAUCAACUUCAAGACCCUUGUAUUGGACAAAUAAUGAAUGGAGCCGGUAAGCAGAAGAAUGACUAUAUGAGGCCAGAGAUAGAGGAGGAAGUUAGGCUAUUGAACAAACAGAAGAAGAACCUGCUUAUGAGACGGGGAGCACUACACAGACACACAAAACAGAGACGGGCUCCUUUAGUAUUAACUUACGAUCAGUUGGGGGUACCUUGUAUGGUGCCAAGAGUUAAUCACAUGGGUAUGGUGUUAUCUUGGCCAUAUUUUAGCAAUUAAAUAAGAUAAAGAAUAUGGUGAUCCAAUUAAACGAGUGUAAGUAGAUCACCAGGGGGAGAGUGUAGCCCUACUGGUAAUUUUAAAAUAUAUAUAUAUUGUAAUAUAUUGUGUAUACAUAUGCAUAUGUAAUCUGUCAUGUUACAUAGGGCAUGAAAUGAAGGAGUUAACCUCAUGUACUGCAGUAUGUGGGGAGAAGUUUCUAGAUUGCCAUGAGGCCAGGAGAUCGUUGGGGAGAGCAUGAGGACGGAAGGGAAAGGGGCCCCUGCGCAUGCUGUGACAGUUAGUCCCAGACAAACUGUACCUGUGAGAGAGGCAGCAUCCCGGCGGGCAGCUCUAGUGACAGAGCAGAGAGCGGGGGACAGAGACGCUGGCAGAGAGGCAGUCCUGGUAGCGGCGAUGCUAGAGACGCUGCAGGCAUGGAAAUAGGCGCUGGCAAAAAGAUAGUCUCGGUGACAGUGAGGCUGGAGAACGCUGCAGGCAGAUAAAUAGCCCCUGGCGUAGAGGCAGUCCCGGUGAUGUUGGAGAGCCAGAGAGCUGUGCAAUAGAGGCGCAGGCAACCAGAGUAAGAAGGAGAACGGUGAGGAGUGAGAUCCUGUCAGUGCUGAGGACUCACUGAUUGGUACAAGAACUACAAUAAGAGGUACCUACACUAUCUGGCUUACAAUAAUCAGACAGAGGGGGUGGAGAGGCAGAGCGUAGAGGAACAAGAGGAGUCGGGGGAGCUACCAGAGGUGGGAAUGUUUGUUGGAACGGUCUAAAGAAUUUAUUGACGCUGAUAGUCCAACUAUAGUUGUACAAUAAAGCUGUUAUACUUA